CCCUUAGAUGUUCUGGGCCGCACGCGUGCUACACUGAGUGGAUCAGCGGGUCAGGUUGCGCGAAAGCGUUUCCUAAUCUUUAAAUCCGCUCGUGAUGGGGAUUGACGGUUGCAAUUUUCUGUCAUGAACGAGGAAUACCUUGUAAGCGCGGGUCAUCAUCCCGCGCUGAAUACGUCCCUGCCCUUUGUACACACCGCCCGUCGCUCCUACCGAUUGAGUGGUCCGGUGAGAUAAUCGGACAGAUAACUUGGCAACUGGCAACAGUUGACGUGCAUAUUUGGAAGACGAUCAAACUUGGUCAUUUAGAGGAAGUAAAAGUCGUAACA
rnacentral:rRNA from 1 species